rnacentral:snRNA from 1 species
AAUCUUAGCUGGCAGAGGAGACACCAUGAUUAGGAGGAUGGUUUUCCUGUAAUGAGGAUCCCGCCUUUUGCUCCGGGUGAGUUGACCCAUCCGUUUUCCCAAGUGUGGGAAAUCUCCGAGCAGCAGAUAC